AGCUCCAAUAGCGUAUAUUUAAGUUGUUGCGGUUAAAAAGCUCGUAGUUGGAUUUCGGGCGUGGAGGUUCGGUCCGCCGUUUCGGUGUGCACUGUCUUUCUGCGUCUUUCUGUCGGGGACGCGCUUCUGGCCUUAAUUGGCUGGGACGUGGAUUCGACGAGGUUACUUUGAAAAAAUUAGAGUGUUCAAAGCAAGCUAAAGCUCUGAAUACAUUAGCAUGGAAUAACGCGAGAGGACUCGGUCCUUAUUUUGUUGGUCUUCAAGGAUGGAGUAAUGAUUAAGAGGGACAGUUGGGGGCAUUCGUAUUUCAUUGCUAGAGGUGAAAUUCUUGGAUUUAUGAAAGACGAACUUCUGCGAAAGCAUUUGCCAAGGAUGUUUUCAUUG
rnacentral:rRNA from 1 species